UACGAAGGUGGCAAGCGUUGUUCGGAUUUACUGGGCGUACAGGGUGCGUAGGCGGUUGGAUAAGCCCUCCGUGAAAUCUCCAGGCUUAACCUGGAAAGUGCAGAGGGGACUGUUCAGCUAGAGGAUGGGAGAGGAGCGCGGAAUUCCCGGUGUAGCGGUGAAAUGCGUAGAGAUCGGGAGGAAGACCAGUGGCGAAGGCGGGUCUCUGGACAGUUCCUGACACUGAGGCACGAAGGCCAGGGGAGCAAACGGG
rnacentral:rRNA from 1 species